rnacentral:rRNA from 1 species
GCCCUUAGAGUUUGAUCCUGGCUCAGGAUGAACGCUGGCGGUAUGCUUUACACAUGCAAGUCGUACGAGAGUUUUUAACUCAAGUGGCGGACGGGUGAGUAACACGUAAGAAUUUGCCUUUAGGAGGGGGAUAACAACUGGAAACGGUUGCUAAUACCCCAUAUGCUUUCGAGUAAAAUGGAUUUUCCGCCUAAAGAGAAGCUUGCGGCUGAUUAGCUUGUUGGUGAGGUAAUGGCUCACCAAGGCGACGAUCAGUAUCUGGUUUGAGAAGGACGAUCAGACACACUGGAACUGAGACACGGUCCCAGACUCCUACGGGAGGCAGCAGUGGGGAAUUUUCCGCAAUGGGCGAAAGCCUGACGGAGCAAUACCGCGUGAGGGAUGACGGCCUAUGGGUUGUAAACCUCUUUUUUCAGGGAGGAAUCAAUGACGUGUACCUGAAGAAUAAGCAUCGGCUAACUCCGUGCCAGCAGCCGCGGUAAGACGGAGGAUGCAAGUGUUAUCCGGAAUCACUGGGGCGUAAAGCGUCUGUAGGUGGUCAAAUAAGUCAACUGUUAAAUCUUGAGGCUCAACCUCAAAAUCGCAGUCGAAACUAUUCGACUAGAGUAUAGUAGGGGUAAAGGGAAUUUCCAGUGGAGCGGUGAAAUGCGUAGAGAUUGGAAAGAACACCGAUGGCGAAGGCACUUUACUGGGCUAUUACUAACACUGAGAGACGAAAGCUAGGGUAGCAAAUGGGAUUAGAUACCCCAGUAGUCCUAGCCGUAAACAAUGGAUACUAGAUGUUGAACAGAUCGACCUGUGCAGUAUCAAAGCUAACGCGUUAAGUAUCCCGCCUGGGAAGUAUGCUCGCAAGAGUGAAACUCAAAUGAAUUGACGGGGAAGGGC